CCUACGGGUGGCUGCAGUCGAGGAUCUUCGGCAAUGGGCGCAAGCCUGACCGAGCGACGCCGCGUGAGCGAUGAAGGCCUUCGGGUUGUAAAGCUCUUUAGUGGGGGAGAUCUAUCCCAAAAAUAAGCUCGGGCUAAGUUCGUGCCAGCAGCCGCGGUAAGACGAACCGAGCGAACGUUAUUCGGAAUCACUGGGCUUAAAGGGCGCGUAGGCGGGCUGUCAAGUCUGGGGUGAAAUCCCACGGCUCAACCGUGGAACUGCCUUAGAUACUGACGGCCUCGAGGAAGGUAGGGGCAUGCGGAACUGUAGGUGGAGCGGUGAAAUGCGUUGAUAUCUACAGGAACUCCGGUGGCGAAAGCGGCGUGCUGGACCUUCUGACGCUGAGGCGCGAAAGCUAGGGGAGCAAACGGGAUUAGAUACCCUUGUAGUC
rnacentral:rRNA from 1 species